ensembl:lncRNA
AAACAAAGGUCUAAUAGAUACUUUAUUCUGAGCAAUCCAAUACACAGUAGAAAAAUCCUUUAAACAUAUAAAAGAUUAAUUUGUGCACAUCUAAAUGUUUCUAAGGGAGCAAACUACAGAGGCAUCGUGACUAGAUGAAGACUGCAAACAUAGGACCAUAACUGAACACUUAAAAUGAGACCUUAGUAACACAAAGUCUUGGAAUAGUGACUUCUCCACAUAGGUCAGAGCAUGUCUUAGAAGAUUAACCCCCUAAAACAUUGUAUGGCUUCAAAAGGAACUUCUGGGUUUUCUUCCACCCCCAGCCAUUGUCUUCAAACAAACUUUCUUACUCCCUGUCCAGAUUUUUGUUCUUUCUCCUGAUCAAGGAGCUAAAUGAAUAGCAGUUGCCACUUUGGGAAAACAAUACGUUUGCCCCAAUGACCCCUUGGUUCCCUUAACUCCGAAUCUAUAGGAAAAGUGCAAAUAAUUCCCAGAAGUCAGAACCAAAGCAAGAAUGCUCAGAAUGCAAGAGCUAGAUAGCUAAUGAUGUGGAUGUUUACAUCUGUCUACCUAUCUGCUGAGGGAUGUUCUUUCAGGAUUCUUCUAGGAUUCUAUUUAUUUGGUUUGAAUUUACAUGGAGGCUUUUAUCUAGCAAGUGCAAUUAAAUUAAUUUGUCUAUUUAAGAUAAUAAGAUAGCAGAUGCCUAACUGUCAGAAUGGUUAUACAGCCCAUAGAACAGCCCAAACAAAAUCAUUGACUGGGAAAGAUGCUCAUCAUUUCCAUGUAGGAAGAUGAAGGUUCAAACAGCAUACCUGUAACCAGAGCAGCCUCCCAUGAACAGGCUGGACAAGUUCAAAGGCGUGAAUGAUGAGAUUGGUCGUGUCUGGUUGACCUAUGACAAGAGCCCUUUAUGGACAGCUCUAUGUCCUCAGGUUCGCAGUGCUAAGCUCAACACUGGAUUCUUCAUUACUUACUGUGUCUAGGAGCCCAUAUCAUUCAUCUUCCAAAAUGGGACAUGUCUGAGCCAUAGCAAGCAUUGUUAAUAAUUAUGCUAGGGCAACAGUGAACCAACUGGGAUACUAAGUUGAAAGAGACCCCGGGGGGAGCAGAGAAAAUUGUGGCUUAUAGAGGGAAGACAGCUGACCUGUGUGUAUGAGAGCGUGUCUGGAAGGUGGGCGGGGGGAUGGAUAUGAAGCAAAGGAGGGGAGUGAAAUUCAGUCACCUGUGCAAAGGUGUCUACCCAGGGCUGAGUGUUCCCGAUGGCUCUCCCGCAUGUCGUCACCACCCUAACACUAUGGUGGCACCCCUUUCAUGACCACAUUUGAAUUUUUGCUAGCUAAUUAGUAAUAGGUGAUACUGGAGACCAAGAAUAGUUCCCAGAGUUAGGUUGGGACUUCAGCAACACCUGUGAGUAGGAUUCCCUUUGGGUCCCAUAAACACAACCCAAGCCAGGCUUUCAUGGUUGGGACUCCUUGCAUUUUAAUGACUUUGGAUGCCAAAAUUUUCUUUUUUCAAGAGUAAGGGAGUUCGCAGCCCUACUUGUGCAUUCUGUUAAGAGAAACCAAUAUCUGAAUACUAAAGGGGAGGGGCCAGGAUGUACAUGCUGGUGCAGGGCUCAGCAAAUGCUUUCUAUAAAAAGAGGAAAUAUUUUAGGCUCUGUGGGCCAUGUGGUCUGCCUCAAUUACUCAACUCUGCUGCUCUAGUGCAAGAGUGGCCUUGGAGUAUGUGAACAAAGAGAUGUGGCCAUGUUUCAAUAAACCCUUAUUUAUGGAGACUGAAGUUUGAAUCAUUUUCAUGCAUCAUGAAAUAUUAAAAAAAAAAACAAAACUGUUUUCAACCCAAAAUACAAAAACCAUUCUUGACUAGAAGGCCAUAUAGAAACAGGUGGGGGCUCUGGAUCUACCAGCCCCUCUUUCUGUCCAAGGCCAACAGAUUCUAAGUCACAUUGGUAUUUUAAAGUUAUAUGACGACUAUAAGGGACUAUUUUCCAAAUGAUAGUACAUACUCAUAUUUAAUUUUAAACCGGUGAUUAGAUGGGAGAGGGCUAAAGCAGAUUACUUUUUAUAACGCAUGUGAGAGAGCAAUUCAGAUAACUGAAUUUACCAAAUAAUGAAUUUCUGAGUGGCCGUCUUACACUGAGGCCUUGGCACUUAAAAUGUAAAAUCUUGAACUAAGUUUAUAACCUAAAGCACAGACAGCUACCAAAAAUAAGGACAUUGUUCCUUAAGUUUUUCAGUGUGGAUAUCUUCAACAUCCAUUGGAGAAAUGAUUUUUAAAAAGACCAAUUCACAGAA